AUCAAAGAAAAUAUGUUAAGAAAUGAAUAUAUUUAGCACUUACAGUUUCAAUUUUCUAUGAUUUUGAGGCGGAUGUGACGAAGCCAAAUUGGAGUUAGGGUUUGGAGUUAGGGUUCAUCGUGUGCAGGGACGACGCCGGCUUAGAGAAGAAGUAACGAAACGCAAGGCGACUGCAACUGAGAUGAGGUUGUCGGAGAUGGAGGUUCAAUGUGGAGAAAAGGAAAACUGAGAUUAGGAAGGAGAAGAAGUGUCGACAAAGGGGUUUUGCUUUUUUAGAAAAUAUUAGUCAAUUAAUAUUAUAAAUUAAUUCAAUGGCAGUUUCGUUAAUACU
rnacentral:lncRNA from 1 species